rnacentral:rRNA from 1 species
GACGAACGCUGGCGGCGUGCUUAACACAUGCAAGUCGAACGGAAAGACCCUGCUUUUGUGGGGUGCUCGAGUGGCGAACGGGUGAGUAACACGUGAGUAACCUGCCCUUGACUUUGGGAUAACUUCAGGAAACUGGGGCUAAUACCGGAUAGGAGCUCCUGCUGCAUGGUGGGGGUUGGAAAGUUUCGGCGGUUGGGGAUGGACUCGCGGCUUAUCAGCUUGUUGGUGGGGUAGUGGCUUACCAAGGCUUUGACGGGUAGCCGGCCUGAGAGGGUGACCGGCCACAUUGGGACUGAGAUACGGCCCAGACUCCUACGGGAGGCAGCAGUGGGGAAUAUUGCACAAUGGGCGGAAGCCUGAUGCAGCAACGCCGCGUGCGGGAUGACGGCCUUCGGGUUGUAAACCGCUUUCGCCUGUGACGAAGCGUGAGUGACGGUAAUGGGUAAAGAAGCACCGGCUAACUAUGUG